AGCGCAGGCUGUUUGUCAAGUCAGAUGUGAAAGCCCACGGCUCAACCGUGGAAGUGCAUUUGAAACUGGCAGACUUGAGUAUCAGAGGGGAAAGUGGAAUUCCCGGUGUAGAGGUGAAAUUCGUAGAUAUCGGGAGGAAUACCGGUGGCGAAGGCGACUUUCUGGCUGAAUACUGACGCUGAGGCUCGAAAGCGUGGGGAGCAAACAGGAUUAGAUACCCUGGUAGUCC
rnacentral:rRNA from 1 species